UUGAACGCUGGCGGCAGGCCUAACACCUGCAAGUCAAGCGGAUGAAGGGAGCUUGCUCCUGGAUUCAGCGGCGGACGGGUGAGUAAUGCCUAGGAAUCUGCCUGGUAGUGGGGGAUAACGUCCGGAAACGGGCGCUAAUACCGCAUACGUCCUGAGGGAGAAAGUGGGGGAUCUUCGGACCUCACGCUAUCAGAUGAGCCUAGGUCGGAUUAGCUAGUUGGUGGGGUAAAGGCCUACCAAGGCGACGAUCCGUAACUGGUCUGAGAGGAUGAUCAGUCACACUGGAACUGAGACACGGUCCAGACUCCUACGGGAGGCAGCAGUGGGGAAUAUUGGACAAUGGGCGAAAGCCUGAUCCAGCCAUGCCGCGUGUGUGAAGAAGGUCUUCGGAUUGUAAAGCACUUUAAGUUGGGAGGAAGGGCAGUAAGUUAAUACCUUGCUGUUUUGACGUUACCAACAGAAUAAGCACCGGCUAACUUCGUG
rnacentral:rRNA from 1 species